rnacentral:rRNA from 1 species
AGAGUUUGGUCCUGGCUCAGAUUGAACGCUGGCGGUAUGCUUAACACAUGCAAGUCGAACGGUAACAGGUCUAGCUUGCUAGAUGCUGACGAGUGGCGGACGGGUGAGUAACGCGUAGGUAUCUGUCUAUGAGAGUGGGACAACACGGGGAAACUCGUGCUAAUACCACAUACGUUCUACGGAAGAAAGGCUGGGUUAAACCAGUCGCUCAUAGGGGAGCCUGCGUUGGAUUAGCUAGUUGGUGGGGUAAAGGCCUACCAAGGCGACGAUCCAUAGCUGUUCUGAGAGGAAGAUCAGCCACACUGGGACUGAGACACGGCCCAGACUCCUACGGGAGGCAGCAGUGGGGAAUAUUGGACAAUGGGCGCAAGCCUGAUCCAGCAAUACCGCGUGUGUGAAGAAGGCCUGAGGGUUGUAAAGCACUUUCAGCGAGGAGGAAGGUCACAGUGUUAAUAGCACUGUGGUUUGACGUUACUCGCAGAAGAAGCACCGGCUAACUCUGUGCCAGCAGCCGCGGUAAUACAGAGGGUGCAAGCGUUAAUCGGAAUUACUGGGCGUAAAGAGUGCGUAGGCGGAUUAUUAAGUCAUAUGUGAAAUCCCCGGGCUUAACCUGGGAAUUGCGUCUGAUACUGGUAGUCUAGAGUGUGGUAGAGGGCAGUGGAAUUUCCGGUGUAGCGGUGAAAUGCGUAGAUAUCGGAAGGAACACCAGUGGCGAAGGCGACUGCCUGGGCCAACACUGACGCUGAGGUACGAAAGCGUGGGUAGCGAACAGGAUUAGAUACCCUGGUAGUCCACGCCGUAAACUAUGAGGACUAGCUGUUGGACACAUUAAAGUGUCAAGUAGCGCAGCUAACGCGAUAAGUUCUCCGCCUGGGGAGUACGGCCGCAAGGCUAAAACUCAAAGGAAUUGACGGGGGCCCGCACAAGCGGUGGAGCAUGUGGUUUAAUUCGAUGCAACGCGAAAAACCUUACCUACCCUUGACAUCCUUGGAAUCCUGUAGAGAUACGGGAGUGCUUCGGACCCAAGAGACAGGUGCUGCAUGGCUGUCGUCAGCUCGUGUCGUGAGAUGUUGGGUUAAGUCCCGUAACGAGCGCAACCCCUAUACUUAGUUGCUAAUUGCGAAAGCGAUGCACUUUAAGUAGACUGCCGGUGACAAACCGGAGGAAGGUGGGGAUGAUGUCAAGUCAUCAUGGCCCUUAUGGGUAGGGCUACACACGUGCUACAAUGGGCAGUACAGAGGGAGUUGAAGCCGCGAGGUGAAACGAAUCUCAGAAAACUGUUCGUAGUCCGGAUUGGAGUCUGCAACUCGACUCCAUGAAGUUGGAAUCGCUAGUAAUCGCGAAUCAGCAUGUCGCGGUGAAUACGUUCCCGGGCCUUGUACACACCGCCCGUCACACCAUGGGAGUGGGUUGUACCAGAAGUAGGUAGGCUAACCGUAAGGAGGCCGCUUACCACGGUAUGAUUCAUGACUGGGGUGAAGUCGUAACAAGGUA